rnacentral:tRNA from 1 species
UCCCUGGCGGUCCAGGGGUUAGGACUCAGUGCUCUCACUGCUAUGGCCCAGGUUCAAUCCCUGGUUGGGGAA